GCUUGCUCCAUGAUUCAGCGGCGGACGGGUGAGUAAUGCCUAGGAAUCUGCCUGGUAGUGGGGGACAACGUUUCGAAAGGAACGCUAAUACCGCAUACGUCCUACGGGAGAAAGUGGGGGAUCUUCGGACCUCACGCUAUCAGAUGAGCCUAGGUCGGAUUAGCUAGUUGGUGAGGUAAAGGCUCACCAAGGCGACGAUCCGUAACUGGUCUGAGAGGAUGAUCAGUCACACUGGAACUGAGACACGGUCCAGACUCCUACGGGAGGCAGCAGUGGGGAAUAUUGGACAAUGGGCGAAAGCCUGAUCCAGCCAUGCCGCGUGUGUGAAGAAGGUCUUCGGAUUGUAAAGCACUUUAAGUUGGGAGGAAGGGCAGUAAGUUAAUACCUUGCUGUUUUGACGUUACCGACAGAAUAAGCACCGGCUAACUUCGUGCCAGCAGCCGCGGUAAUACGAAGGGUGCAAGCGUUAAUCGGAAUUACUGGGCGUAAAGCGCGCGUAGGUGGUUCGUUAAGUUGGAUGUGAAAGCCCCGGGCUCAACCUGGGAACUGCAUCCAAAACUGGCGAGCUAGAGUAUGGCAGAGGGUGGUGGAAUUUCCUGUGUAGCGGUGAAAUGCGUAGAUAUAGGAAGGAACACCAGUGGCGAAG
rnacentral:rRNA from 1 species